rnacentral:rRNA from 1 species
UACGAAGGGGGCGAGCGUUGUUCGGAAUUACUGGGCGUAAAGGGCGCGUAGGCGGCCGAUCAAGUCAGAUGUGAAAGUCCUGGGCUUAACCUGGGGACUGCAUUUGAUACUGAUUGGCUUGAAUGCAGGAGAGGAUAGCGGAAUUCCCAGUGUAGAGGUGAAAUUCGUAGAUAUCGGGAGGAACACCGGUGGCGAAGGCGGCCAUCUGGACGGAUACUGACGCUGAGACGCGAAAGCGUGGGUAGCAAACGGG